rnacentral:rRNA from 1 species
ACUCCUACGGGAGGCAGCAGUGGGGAAUAUUGCACAAUGGGCGCAAGCCUGAUGCAGCCAUGCCGCGUGUAUGAAGAAGGCCUUCGGGUUGUAAAGUACUUUCAGCAGUGAGGAAGGGUGGAGUUAAUAGCAUGCAUCUUUGAUGUUGACUGCAGAAGAAGCACCGGCUAACUCCGUGCCAGCAGCCGCGGUAAUACGGAGGGUGCGAGCGUUAAUCGGAAUUACUGGGCGUAAAGCGCAUGCAGGUGGUUUGUUAAGUCAGAUGUGAAAGCCCGGGGCUCAACCUCGGAAUUGCA